rnacentral:rRNA from 1 species
GAUGAACGCUAGCGGCAGGCCUAAUACAUGCAAGUCGAACGAGAUUAAGGAGCUUGCUUCUUAUGAAAGUGGCGCACGGGUGCGUAACGCGUAUGCAACCUACCUUAAUCAGGGGGAUAGCCCGAAGAAAUUCGGAUUAACACCGCAUAAAAUCACAGGGUAGCAUUACCUAAUGAUCAAAUAUUUAUAGGAUUAAGAUGGGCAUGCGUGUCAUUAGCUAGUUGGCGGGGUAACGGCCCACCAAGGCGACGAUGACUAGGGGAUCUGAGAGGAUGGCCCCCCACACUGGUACUGAGACACGGACCAGACUCCUACGGGAGGCAGCAGUAAGGAAUAUUGGUCAAUGGAGGGAACUCUGAACCAGCCACGCCGCGUGCAGGAAGACAGCCCUCUGGGUCGUAAACUGCUUUUAUUCGGGAAUAAACCUACUUACGUGUAAGUAGCUGAAUGUACCGAAGGAAUAAGGAUCGGCUAACUCCGUGCCAGCCGCCGCCGUAAGAC